UACGAAGGGGGCUAGCGUUGCUCGGAAUCACUGGGCUUAAAGGGUGCGUAGGCGGCGCGGAAGUUGGGUGUGAAAUCCCUCGGCUCAACCGAGGAACUGCGCCCAAAACUGCCGUGCUCGAGGGAGAUAGAGGUGAGCGGAACUUAGGGUGGAGCGGUGAAAUGCGUUGAUAUCCUAAGGAACACCGGUGGCGAAAGCGGCUCACUGGAUCUCUUCUGACGCUGAGGCACGAAAGCUAGGGUAGCGAACGGG
rnacentral:rRNA from 1 species